rnacentral:rRNA from 1 species
CUCAGGAUGAACGCUGGCGGCGUGCCUAAUACAUGCAAGUCGAGCGAACAGAUAAGGAGCUUGCUCCUUUGAAGUUAGCGGCGGACGGGUGAGUAACACGUGGGUAACCUACCUAUAAGACUGGGAUAACUUCGGGAAACCGGAGCUAAUACCGGAUAACAUUUAGAACCGCAUGGUUCUAAAGUGAAAGAUGGUUUUGCUAUCACUUAUAGAUGGACCCGCGCCGUAUUAGCUAGUUGGUAAGGUAACGGCUUACCAAGGCGACGAUACGUAGCCGACCUGAGAGGGUGAUCGGCCACACUGGAACUGAGACACGGUCCAGACUCCUACGGGAGGCAGCAGUAGGGAAUCUUCCGCAAUGGGCGAAAGCCUGACGGAGCAACGCCGCGUGAGUGAUGAAGGGUUUCGGCUCGUAAAACUCUGUUAUUAGGGAAGAACAAAUGUGUAAGUAACUGUGCACAUCUUGACGGUACCUAAUCAGAAAGCCACGGCUAACUACGUGCCAGCAGCCGCGGUAAUACGUAGGUGGCAAGCGUUAUCCGGAAUUAUUGGGCGUAAAGCGCGCGUAGGCGGUUUCUUAAGUCUGAUGUGAAAGCCCACGGCUCAACCGUGGAGGGUCAUUGGAAACUGGGAAACUUGAGUGCAGAAGAGGAAAGUGGAAUUCCAUGUGUAGCGGUGAAAUGCGCAGAGAUAUGGAGGAACACCAGUGGCGAAGGCGACUUUCUGGUCUGUAACUGACGCUGAUGUGCGAAAGCGUGGGGAUCAAACAGGAUUAGAUACCCUGGUAGUCCACGCCGUAAACGAUGAGUGCUAAGUGUUAGGGGGUUUCCGCCCCUUAGUGCUGCAGCUAACGC